UUAUGCUGCUAGAAGCUCCGCCAUCUUCACGGCCGUCGUGGUCCAGCAGCGCCGCACAAAUCGACGCAUUGCCGUACAUCGACGACGAGUACGGCGACCACAAAGUCAAAGCGGAGGUUGACCGUUUAAUCGAAGAAGAAAUGCGUCGUAGUGCUAAACGACCGUCUGAUUAUCUUAAAGACCUCCCUCCUGUUGCCAAAUUCAACUUUGAGAUCCACUGAUACUCCGGCGACCGGUGUUGUUGCUCGCUUCGCCGUUAGGGCUCACCAGGUAAUAGUGAUGAAUUUCAGUUGAGAGAUGAUGGUGCACUUCAUGAUUUGCCUGCAAUUCUCUUGCUCUUCAAAGUUCCAGCUAAGUUUAUAUUUUGAUUCAGAAUUUGUCGCUUCUUUAUUUUGUAUUUAGGUUUACUAAUUUGGUCAUUAUAUUUUGUGUAUGUGUUCUUGGAAGGAAAUAAGAUCUCUUAUACUAAUUUGGGUUUUUAUUUUCUUAAGAUAGCACUUUCAUGGGGGAAUUUAAGUUCAAAAGGCACUGAGACUUAAUAUGUUCUUGAUGAUGGAAAUGUGAA